UACAGAGGGGGCGAGCGUUAUUCGGAAUUAUUGGGCGUAAAGGGCGCGUAGGCGGCUUUUCAAGUGACGGGUGAAAUCCCUCGGCUUAACCGAGGAACUGCCUGUCAGACUGGAAGGCUUGAGACCGGGAGAGGUGAGUGGAAUUCCCAGUGUAGCGGUGAAAUGCGUAGAUAUUGGGAGGAACACCAGUGGCGAAGGCGGCUCACUGGACCGGAACUGACGCUGAGGAGCGAAAGCCAGGGGAGCAAACGGG
rnacentral:rRNA from 1 species